CGGAGGAGCAUGUUGGUUUAAUUCGAUGAUACGCGAGGAACCUUACCGUGGCUCGAACGUAAGAUGACUGUAGGUGAAAGCUUUACAUCUCUUCGGAGCAUUUUACGAGGUGCUGCAUGGUUGUCGUCAGCUCGUGCCGUGAGGUGUCGGGUUAAGUCCCAUAACGAGCGCAACCCCUAUCAUUAGUUGCCAUCAGGUCAAGCUGGGGACUCUAAUGAAACUGCCUACGCAAGUAGUGAGGAAGGUGGGGAUGACGUCAAGUCAUCAUGGCCCUUACGGCCUGGGCUACACACGUGCUACAAUGGUCGGUACAAAGGGUUGCCAAGCCGCGAGGUGGAGCUAAUCCCAUAAAACCGAUCGUAGUCCGGAUCGCAGUCUGCAACUCGACUGCGUGAAGUCGGAAUCGCUAGUAAUCGUGAAUCAGAAUGUCACGGUGAAUACGUUCCCGGGCCUU
rnacentral:rRNA from 1 species